GCUGGGCGUGGUGGCGCGUGCCUGUAAUCCCAGCUACUUGGGAGGCUGAGGCAGGAGAAUUGCCUGAACCCAGGAGGCGGAGGUUGCGGUGAGCCGAGAUGGCGCCAUUGCACUCCGGCCUGGGUAACAAGAGCGAAACUCUGUCUCUU
rnacentral:sRNA from 1 species